GGGGGGCGCGGACACGCGUGGUGUGCGCGGUCCCCGUGCAGCCCGCCCUGCCGCAGGCUGCCCUCCACCCCCAGCCCCAGCUCCAGCCCCCAGCCCGUCCCCACUGCUCAUAUCCGAGCAGAUAGACCCCGGCCCCACCCUCCCGUGCUGAGCCUCCUUUCUGCCGGGAAGUUCGUCCGGGAGUCAAACAUCGCUGCCCUCCGGUUGCGCCACGGAGGGGGAGCCAGGAUAGGAAGCUGCCGUGAAAUCAGGAAGCUGAGCGCGCCGGGCCCCGGAUCCGAACAGAAAAGGCUUCCACCCGCUCCCCUGAGGGAUCCCACGCUGAGGGACUGAACCCCGCACCCCAGCCGCGCUCACCACCCCCACCCUCUCGCCUGGGCUGCUCUGACCUGGGGGUGGUCUAUAUGCUCUUAAUCUCUGCAUUUCCUCUUUCCAGUGAGGAGGAGUUUCACUGCUGUCAUCAUCAUCUGACUCAGAACAGGAUCUUGAUCUUGGAGAUUCCAGAACUGCCACUCAAAGUGCCCUAUGAGGAGCUGUGGUAACAAGGAAAUGUUCUCAUGACUCAAAAAUCAGUGGAAAAAGGUACAGGAUGAGAAGCCUUGUUUCCCAACCCUAUCAACAGAAACAAGAUCUUGCUCUGUUGACCAAGCUGGAGUGCAGUGGUGCAAUCAUAGCUCAUGGCAGCCUUAAACUCCUGAGCUCAAGCCAUCCUCCCACCUCACCCUUCCAAGUACAGGUGAGCACCACCAUGCCUGGCUAAUUAAAAAAAAAUUGUUUUUUGUAGACAGGGUCUUGCUAUAUUGCCCAGGCUGGUCUCAAACUCCUGGGUUCAAGCAAUCCUCCUGCCUGGGCCUCCCUAAGUACUGGGAUUACUGGUAUGAGCCACCAUGCUUGGUCAUACUUCUACUCUUCAGCAAUCUACUAUUUUUCUUUUCUUUUCUUUUUUUUUUUUUUUGAGACAGGGUCUCACUCCGUCACCCAGGCUGACAUGCAGUGGUAUAAUCUCUACUCACUGCAACCUCUGCUUCCCAGGCUCAAGCAGUCCUUCAGUCUCAGCCUCCCAAAUAGCUGGGACUACAGGCAAAAACUAAGAGAGCCACCAUGCCCAGCUAAUUUUUUUAUUUUUUGUAGAGAUGGGGUUUCGCCAUGUAGGCCAGGCUGGUCUCGAACUCCUGACCUCAAAAUGAUACACCCGCGUCUGCCUCCCAAAGUGCUGGGAUUACAGGCGUGAGCUAUUUUUAAUUCUUAAUAGAAAAUAACCCUGUUAUCUAAAGCAUGGAUUCACUACAAAAUAAAGAUUAAGGUCCAUCAAGGCUUUCUAGUAACACUUAUUUAAAAAAAAAAAAAAAAAAGAUCAAUCAAGGCUAAAAACAUUAAAAAGAGAGAGAAGGCAACCAAAUUUCCAGGAUUAUCUCAUCCCUUUGCUCGAAAC
rnacentral:lncRNA from 10 species